GCAGAUGUGGCGGAAUUGGCAGACGCGCUACUUUGAGGUGGUAGUGAGGUUUCUCGUGUGGGUUCAAGUCCCGUCAUCUGCACCA
rnacentral:tRNA from 2 species